CCGCGGUAAUACGGAGGGUGCAAGCGUUAUCCGGAUUCACUGGGUUUAAAGGGUGCGCAGGUGGAUUGCCAAGUCCGUGGUGAAAUCUCUGAGCUUAACUCAGAAACUGCCGUGGAUACUGGUAGUCUUGAAUAUCGUGGAGGUCAGCGGAAUAUGUCAUGUAGCGGUGAAAUGCUUAGAUAUGACAUAGAACACCAAUUGCGAAGGCAGCUGGCUACACGAAUAUUGACACUCAGGCACGAAAGCGUGG
rnacentral:rRNA from 1 species